rnacentral:rRNA from 1 species
GACGAACGCUGGCGGCGUGCCUAAUACAUGCAAGUAGAACGCUGAAGAGAGGAGCUUACUCUUCUUGGAUGAGUUGCGAACGGGUGAGUAACGCGUAGGUAACCUGCCUUGUAGCGGGGGAUAACUAUUGGAAACGAUAGCUAAUACCGCAUAACAAUGGAUGACACAUGUCAUUUAUUUGAAAGGGGCAAUUGCUCCACUACAAGAUGGACCUGCGUUGUAUUAGCUAGUAGGUGAGGUAAUGGCUCACCUAGGCGACGAUACAUAGCCGACCUGAGAGGGUGAUCGACCAAACUGGGACUGAGACACGGCCCAGACUCCUACGGGAGGCAGCAGUAGGGAAUCUUCGGCAAUGGGGGCAACCCUGACCGAGCAACGCCGCGUGAGUGAAGAAGGUUUUCGGAUCGUAAAGCUCUGUUGUAAGUCAAGAACGGGUGUGAGAAUGGAAAGUUCACACUGUGACGGUAGCUUACCAGAAAGGGACGGCUAACUACGUG